rnacentral:SRP_RNA from 3 species
CAUGGGUUCUCCCGCGACGAUAGGUGGUGAACCUUGUCAGGCCCGGAAGGGAGCAGCAACAGCCAUUGAUUCGGGCGCAGGAUGUGGCUGGUGCAG